AUUGAACGCUGGCGGCAUGCCUUACACAUGCAAGUCGAACGGUAGCAGGUUAAGCUGACGAGUGGCGAACGGGUGAGUAAUGUAUCGGAACGUGCCCAGUCGUGGGGGAUAACUACUCGAAAGAGUGGCUAAUACCGCAUACGACCUGAGGGUGAAAGCGGGGGACCGUAAGGCCUCGCGCGAUUGGAGCGGCCGAUAUCAGAUUAGCUAGUUGGUGGGGUAAAAGCCCACCAAGGCGACGAUCUGUAGCUGGUCUGAGAGGACGAACAGCCACACUGGGACUGAGACACGGCCCAGACUCCUACGGGAGGCAGCAGUGGGGAAUUUUGGACAAGGGACGCAAGGCUGAUCCAGCCAUGCCGCGUGCGCGAAGAAGGCCUUCGGGUUGUAAACCGCUUUUGUCAGUGAAGAAACGAGUUUCUCUAAUACAGAGACUUAAUGACGGUACCUGAAGAAUAAGCACCGGCUAACUACGUGCCAGCCGCCGCCGUAACAC
rnacentral:rRNA from 1 species